GGGCGGUUGGCUUUGCAGUAGAGCGCUGACUUCACACGGCACAGGUCACUGGUUCGGCCCCAGUACCGCCCA
rnacentral:tRNA from 1 species